AACGAACGCUGGCGGCAGGCUUAACACAUGCAAGUCGAACGCCCCGCAAGGGGAGUGGCAGACGGGUGAGUAACGCGUGGGAAUCUACCCAUCCCUACGGAAUAACGCAUGGAAACGUGUGCUAAUACCGUAUACGCCCUACGGGGGAAAGAUUUAUCGGGGAUGGAUGAGCCCGCGUUGGAUUAGCUAGUUGGUGGGGUAAAGGCCUACCAAGGCGACGAUCCAUAGCUGGUCUGAGAGGAUGAUCAGCCACAUUGGGACUGAGACACGGCCCAAACUCCUACGGGAGGCAGCAGUGGGGAAUAUUGGACAAUGGGCGCAAGCCUGAUCCAGCCAUGCCGCGUGAGUGAUGAAGGCCUUAGGGUUGUAAAGCUCUUUCACCGGAGAAGAUAAUGACGGCAUCCGGAGAAGAAGCCCCGGCUAACUUCGUG
rnacentral:rRNA from 1 species